CGCGACAUCCCGAUUUCACCAAAACCGCCUCAACUCCGCCCGAUCCAUCCUCAAAUCGGAUCGCCCCGAACAAGGUCGACCACCCUCCGCCGCGAGCCGCUCUACUCCGCCCCUCCUCCCACACGAACGCGCAGCAAUGGACCUCGGCGAGCCCAAGAUGCUGCUGCUGCUGCCGGAGUCCACCCAGAUCCCUUGCCAGCGGCGGCCGUCGUGAUUGCGCCGCCCUGCCGUUUACCGCGACAGUCCCAAGAGGACGCCGCCGACGAGCUCCUCGGGGACAUGGUCACCCAGUGCUCUCACUGGUGGCGGUGCUCUGUCUUCCCCAACCACGGCCGGCCACGAGGUGCUCUCGCUCGAUUGGGAAGAUUUUGGUUCAGAUAACGGGCAGCCUUUAUGCUUCAAUUUCGCUGCAAUGGUUAAUGACGCUUCCCUUGAAAUUAACCGGAGCUCCUCCUAGGCUGGUGGUGCCCUCCCGCGGUGUUGGGCUAGGCUCGCCAACGACACCACGCCGCCGCUGGGGGCGGCGACUACACCACCUCUGGUCACCCACUGAUUGGUGGCGGUGGUAUUAGAGACGACCGGCGUAUUCCUCAACCACGACCAACAUGAGUUGCUGGCCGCAGCCACAGCUCGCACCUGUUGCUGCUGGGGUCUCGCACCACAUGUCCAACCUUUACAUGCUAACUUGAUCCACGACACCGGUUAAUGACGCGCCCAUGAACCCGGAGCUCCUGCUAGGCUGGCGGUGCCCUCCCGCGGCGUUAGGCUAGGCUGGCCACAGGCACAAUGCUGCUGGGGGCGAUGGCCUCCCGCGGUGUUAGGCUAGGCUGCCUUCCGGCACCAUGCCGCUGGUGGCGGCGACUACAUCACCUCAGGUGAGCUACUCGGGUUCCCUUUUUCCCUCUUCUAUUCUACAUGCUCUAUGGUUCACACUUGUUCGAUUUUACUCCAUUUAAUUAUGUCGCCUUAAAAAAUUUGAAUCUUGAUUGUAUAUUUACUGAGGUUUGUCGGUGUUUGUAUCAACAUUUGCUGGUUGUUUCUUAGGCCAUCAAGAUGGACUUUGUGAGCAAGGUCAGGAAGAUUGUUGGCAAACAUUGGUGCUCACCACUUUGCUGUUUGCAUCAAACAAACACGUGUUGCAGGUUCACUUUGCAGAACGCGUGGACAGGGUACUUUCAGAUCUUGGUGGCGUGGAUGGUUGAUAAGGACAAGUUUGUUGCCUUCGUCAAGGACUGCCUCGUUAAGAUGGAAUGACCCAAUGAUCUGUCUUGGCAUUGAUCACUAAGCAGAAGAAGAAGAAGAAGUGGAGCAAGGUGAAGGAGAAGGUGAACAACGUGCUGCUGUUUGACCAGGCCACAUAUGACAAGCUCACCAGCAAGCAGCUGGGGUUCAGACUCACAAACAUUUUUGUAGCACUGCAUGUGUUGUAUGUGUCCGUCCGAGGAUUGAUUGUGGAAACUUCCAUGCUGUGCAUCAGCUUUGCCUGAUGUUCGUUGUUUUGUGUCAUGGAGUUUCUCCUGGAGUUGAAUGGUUUGUUUGAAAUGUCCCGAGUUCGCUCUGUGAUCUAAAUGUCCGAAAAACAAUAAGGUCAUGUCGAAAUUCUAAA